UAGGGAAUCUUCCGCAAUGGGCGAAAGCCUGACGGAGCAACGCCGCGUGAGUGAUGAAGGUCUUCGGAUCGUAAAACUCUGUUAUUAGGGAAGAACAAAUGUGUAAGUAACUAUGCACGUCUUGACGUUACCUAAUCAGAAAGCCACGCCUAACUACGUGCCAGCAGCCGCGGUAAUACGUAGGCGGCAAGCGUUAUCCGGAAUUAUUGGGCGUAAAGCGCGCGUGGGCGGUUUUUUAAGUCUGAUGUGAAAGCCCACGGCUCAACCGUGGAGGGUCAUUGGAAACUGGAAAACUUGAGUGCAGAAGAGGAAAGUGUAAUUCCAUGUGUGGCGGUGAAAUGCGCAGAGAUAUGGAGAAACACCAGUGGCGAAGGCGACUUUCUGGUAUGUAACUGACGCUGAUGUGCGAAAGCGUGGGGAUCAAACAGG
rnacentral:rRNA from 1 species